UGAGGUUAAAAUUUGGGAUCGUACAGGAAUGUCACGAAAUCAGUGUCCUUACAAGUAUAGUAAUAUCUGCACGUGUGUGUGUGUGUGUUAGUGUGUUUGUAGACCUGUCUGUUCAUUCAUGUGUGUGUGUGUGUGUGUGUGUGUGUGUGUGAGAGAGUAUGGAAGUGUGUUUGUGUGCAUAAAGAAGGAAUGUGAGUGUGUGUGUGUAACUGUUCAUUCAAGUAUGUGUGUGUGUGUGUGUGUGUGUGUGUGUGUGUGUGUGUGUGUGUGUGUGUGUGUGUGUGUGUGUGUGGUGUCCUGGGGGUGAAUUAGAGCAGAGGCAGUCAUGUUUGAUAGCAAGGUCUCGACAUCGAUGAAAACACUCUAAAACGGCACGCAAACUCUGAGCAGAAGAAAAAAAACAGCCGGGGGGGAGGAGAGGGGAGAGGGGGGGAGGCAGAGAGAGACGAGGGAGGAGGAAAGGAAAGAGGUAAGGGAGAAGGAAAGGAGAGAAAGGAAGAGAUGUAGGGGAGAGAAGUGAAAAUCAACGAUAGAGCAAAGAGAGGAAUGAGGAGAGAGAUGAAAGGAAGGAGGAGACGAGGGUGAGGAAAAGAGGGAGAGGGUGAAGGGUGCAGGUAAGGGAGGGCUGUGCGAUAGAAAAUUACAGCAAAGAUGAAAAAGGAGGAAAAGAAAGGCGAAAAUGGAAGAGAAGGAGAGAGGGGUAAAAGGAGAUAAGAUGGGGAGGCGGCAGGGGGAGAAGUGGAAAAAGGGGGAGGAAAAAAGGGAGUCUGCCUCUUAAAACCUCAUUAUUUCUCAUGAUUUCUUCCUCAAAGCUGAUUGGCUCCUCUCAGAGAUGUGAGUCUUUGAAAAAAAAAACUCUCAAAUAUAUAAUUUCAUGUUUUUAAAAGGCUCCAGAUGCACCCAGGAUGAAAUCUGACACUCUCAGGGACUACUUUCUGCGGCGGAUGAACCCUUUCAUGGAGUUAAACACGCGCCUUCUUGUUUAAUGAUAAUGACCGCUUUGUAAUUUAAUUUCUUGAAUUAUACUUGCAGAGAAACCCCGGUGCAUUAAUGAAAACAUGACUGAAAUAUUCAUGAUGAAAAUAACUAAAUCAGUGAUUCAGCUUUUUAGAAUAACCUUCAUCAAUAUUGAUGCGUCAUUAGCCUCUGUGCUGAUUUUAUGAAUAAACCCGCUCCGGAUGAGUCCGUCCAUAUGUGCCGUUUAUAUAUAUGAGCUAAAAGCCUAUAUGUUUAGAUUGUGUGUAUGUCAUGUAUAAUUCAUGUGAAGCUUCCUGCUAAAAGAUGAAUAAAAGGCCCCUUUGGCGCGACCUUUGACCUGCAGCCACAGACGGUGAGGUGAAACUUUAAAAUUUAAUGAUGAAACAGGAGCUAAGCUAUCGGACAAAAAUCACAUUUCACGUUCAAUAGAAGGAGUUUUAUUAAAAAAAACACUUUUUUCUCAUUGAAAGGAUGUUUACUGCCGUGUACAUAGUUCAGUUUGUAAACAUGAGGCUAACCCCGAAUUUCCACCGCAUCAGGAACAGCAGCGAUUUUCGCCGUACGCCAAUUCCUACUAGAUCCGUUUGUGAGGCGAAUUUCAUGGUGGAUUACAGACAGCAGGAAUCGUGAGAACCCGCAGAUUCACGUGCCGGAUGUUUUAUUUUGUGUCUGUGCCCGACUUCCUUUCCAGCACGGGUUAAUCUGUGCUGAAUUUAUCCGCCAUGCUCCGGCGUCCAGAAAAAAUAGAACUCGUGAUCAGCUGAGGAGUCCGGCGAUCCGCAGAGGAACGGAAAGAAGUCGGUGUAAAUUGACACGUUAACUUGAAUGGUUAUGAUCAGCUACGAUCGGAGGAUACGACCUUUUAGGAGACGAUCAGGAUGAAGGUGGAAGUUGGGGGUAAGUCUAAAACUCACAUGAGUUUGCAGCUAUAAAACUGCAGCAGGAAAGUGCAUCUCCAGAUUUAGACGAUGCAUCAACUAUUUCAUUUCAACUGUUCACUGUUGAUGCAAGACCAGAAAUAUUUUGAGUUAAAACUAUGAAGAAAAAGUCAGAAGCGGUCUUUAUUUAACCAACAGUUGGUGCAACGCAGUCAGUGCAACAGCUGAAAGUCCUUCUGGAAGUUAGUUCAAGAUGACCCUAACCGGGAAUCCAACUGGAUCUGGAACGGCUCCGCUCUGGACCGGCAGGCAAAUCAGUUACGCAAGCACACAGCGCCCACUGGAUCCGAUCCGCCUCCGCCAUCAGAGGAGAAGUGCUUGCAAGGUUACUGAUAUUUCUCGCAAGACUGGACGAGAUCUCACGAGAUUUUAGGUUUUAGCCUUAACCCUAACCCUCUGUACAAUGACUGACACCAUUCUUGAGUUUACAACAACGGAUUCACAAACAGAUUGUCUCCAGUUGUCAGUCGGUGCAUUGGCCAUAAAUAGUUUGUACUUGACUGCAGUGGGUGCAAAAACAUAAAUCAUUCCUGGUUCAACAAAUCCCAGUGCAAGCAUUCCUCCUAAUUGGGUUUUAAACUCCUUCUGUUUAAUCAUAUCUGGUGCUGGUCGGUGCAUUAACUGCAUUCUUGCUCAAGAACGCUGGCGAGUUGGCGAUCAGAAACAGCUGGUGCAAUAACAGAAGCAGGUUCAUGACUAAAGUGUGUUUUCAAACAGCGGCUGGUGCAUCGACCGGAACUGUUUCUGGUCAGCAGCGGUUGGUGCAACGACUGGAACUGUUUCUGGUUGAACAAAAGCUGGUGCAGUGGCCCAAAUCAGUCUGUGCAAGUUUCAGAAUGACUUAUACUGAAAUCAACAGUUGGUGCAUUUAAAAAAAUUGUGCAACAGCUGAAUAAUGUUUUUUUUUUCAACAUCAGGAGGUGAUAAACCGUCCCUAUAUGAGAGGAACUAUUUCCAGUCGGUGCAACAACAACAUUUACCUGCACAGUGACCGAUACUUUAGGCCGGUGAAUACGAUGUCUUCCAUUUUUCGUGUGUCUGGUCGAUCUUUGUUUGACGACCUUGUUUGUGUUAGAAAUUUGCUGGACUGACGGACUUCUCCUGAACUCCAGAACCAUCUCUCCGAACAAUGGUCGGAACAAUUAGUGGAACUAUUUCUUGUUGAACAUCAGAGGGUUCAGUGACCGCGAACUAUGUUGUCGCUGAAUAUGACUCAGUGGAACUAUUCUUGCUCCGUGACUGGAACGCUUUUAACGAUGCGGUGACUUUGCACGCCUUCCUGAAAUGUCACGGCGUCAGGUUGCUGGAUUUGGUUCCAUUGUUUCUGCCAAGACACCAAAAUAAACGUGUCAUUGACUGUACUUGGACAAAGUCACGCUCCCAGUGCUUUAACCAGUGCUCCCAGUCUUUCUCCCAGUCCAAACACAGCCUGGUUAAUGUCUGUCUCUCUGCGUGACGGUGCAGACUGCGCUGGUUUGUUUAGUGUAGUUGUGGGUCUGACUUAUUCAUGUGUGUGUUUGUUGUUUCUGCACGAACUUCAGUGACUCCCACCAGGACAGCUGAUGCCCAGAGUGUGAAGGAGCUGAUUCAACCAGCUACACACAAACACACAAAUAGUGACACACACACACAUAUAGUGACACACACACAAACACUCAGCGGCAGAGGUGUCACCACUGCAGUGUGUUUGUGUGUGUGUGAGCAUGUGUGUGUUUUUCUGCUUCAGUGAGCUGUAGCUGAAGGCUGAUGUUUACACCGACAGCCUGACAUCAACGACAACACUGCGGCGCAGCAAAGGACACACACACACACACACUGCCACCCACAAACACACACAGAGAUGCACGACACACACCAUGCUUUGUUUCACAGAGUUGAUCUUACACUGAACCAAAGGCUCGGUGUGUUUUGGCGUCUGAUUGGACAGCGGGUUUAGUUCACGUAUAUGAACUCUUCAUCUGUUUGAGGUCAAGAUCAACAUAUGUUGUCAUGCAGGUAACCAUGGCAACGGUGCCGAUGAUCCAGGGCCAGUGAGCUGACGACAAACACACAGACAAGGGCUGGCCUGAAUUUACAAAAAAUAUUUAAACACGUAUUUUAAAGAGUUUUUGGUUUGUCCACAUGCGUACGGAGGGUGUCUAAGUCUGGGGUGGGGAGAGUGCACCUUUUUAAUGUCCAAACAUCCCAUGCCAAGGUCAAGAGAGCAGCAGCAAAGACCCCUGGGUAACAAAACAGAGAGGCGUCAACACCAGUAAAAGCAGGAGGCAGGGAGAGCAGCAGCAAACACCCCCAAUGACUCUCACUGACACUCAUUUUUUUGUGUUUAAUUUGUAAUAAAUGAGUUUAAACAUUGCCAAACGAGCAAAAUACAGAUACAGUUCUCUAAAACAUUUGAUUGUACACUUUGUAAGGUCUGUCCACCAGAUUGAAAAGAUGCAAUUCUUAAAAUUCUUGUUUUUUGAAUGGGGUUUGGUUGGGUCCAUAAAUGAGUUCAAACAUUGCCAAUCAAGCAAAAUACAGAUACAGAUUUGUAGAACAUUUGAUUGUACACUUUGUAAGGUCUGUCCGCAAGAUUACAAAGAUGCAAUUCUUAAAAUGCUUGUUUUUUUGAAUGAGGUUUGGUUGGGUCCAUUUUGAACAGCAAGGCGCACCUUUCGCACCUUAUUGUCUGAAAACAGUCCAUUUCUGCACAGUCUUUCUUUCCAGAUAGGAAAGCUUUUCUGCACCUGAUCCCUCCUCUCC
rnacentral:lncRNA from 1 species